GGGCCGUUAGCUCAGUUGGUAGAGCACCGGACUUUUAAUCCGAUGGUCGAUGGUUCGAGUCCAUCACGGCUCA
rnacentral:tRNA from 1 species